rnacentral:lncRNA from 1 species
AGGUUGCAACACUUUGGUGCGAUGUAGAACUAGGUCACUGAUCUUGAACUCUUUGCUUUGAUGCAGGAGUUAUAGUAUCACAUCACUUUUUAUUGAUAGGCUAUUAUCCGUACUCAUACCUUGUCUCAAACUUCUUCAAGCAAGUUUAGAUUUGUCUAAAGUUUCUCUGCAUGACUUUGAUCAUGAUAAAUCUCGACUCAUAGUGAAGAGAGUCCAACCUCUACUGGACUGAC